AGGAGUAUAAGUAGGCUUUCCACACCUGGCCACAAUCAGGAGCCAUCAGCUCACACACACCUGGCACUGCACUGAUUGAUCACACUCAGUGAGGACCCUGUGUGAUCUCCCUCACACUCAUCCUCAUUACGUCUUUUCACCCUCGUGUUACUGCAGCCCAACACCCAUGGCUUUUGUCUUAUCUCACCUGGGUCUGACUACGCCCACCUGCCCAGAGAAUUUGGUUUUUCUCCUCUACUUUGUCUGUACCAGGCUUCCAAUAAUUUUCCUUUUUUCUGUUUUUUUCAUUCUUGCCUGCUGCCCAUGGACAAAUACCAUGAUGUCUUAUUAUUCAUGCCUCCAUACUGAGGAUAGCCAGCUAUCAGACAUUGUCCUCAAACAUCACAAGUUGGGAACCUCAUUGUGGUGCUAAAGAAAAGACGGGACUGUCACCUUCAGCAUCUCUAGGGGACCGUUAAUGUUCUAAAAAUAACUGCUCGUUUCACCAGGUCUUCACAGAGACACAGCUCCGUCACCACCCAGUACUGCACCUCGUUGAAGCGACGCACAAACCGCUCCAGGUUAGCUGUGAUGGCACCGGGGAAUUUGUGACGCCCGAAUACGUAAUAGAUCAGCUCCACCUGGAGGGGAAGGAACAAAAAUUCCAGCUCUGCAAAUCAAGCCUGAAUCCUCACCUCUAAAAAGUCCACCACGAUAGGGUCUUCUUUCAGUAGAAGGCCAUACAGCGCCACCAGCUGGCCAAUCAGCCUCACUACCUUCUGCUUCGUGCUGAUAAUGUAGGAGGAUUUCUCCUGAUCUGAACCCUCGGAGAGCUCUGCCUGGAUAUUGGUGCUGCAGUGCGGGACACAGCUGACUGGAGGGCAUGAAGACUUUGUGGGCGAGACAUUUCUCUGUUUCUUGCAUUCUCGCUGACUUCAGUGGGCUGAGCUGUGUGAGAAGCAGCCUCAGAUGAACACUGUGAGAGUUUGACGAGGAGCUUGGGGUGGAAUACAGAUACCUGACUUUUCCCCUCGCUCUGCGUGAGAAAAAUACAGGACUGCACUUCUGUGGGCAACAUUCCCAUCCUGAAACCCAUGACUGAUAAGGGUAAUAUGUUUUUCCAGGCCUUAGAUUAGGCCAUUAAGAUGUCAGACUUUUGUUACACUAAUGAAAAAUGAUUUUCUUAAUGAGACUAGAGGCUAUUGAAUGCAUGAUUAAGUUUCAUUAAUUUUACUUUAGGAUGCAAAUUCUCAGAGA